UACGAGGGGAGCAAGCGUUGUUCGGAUUUACUGGGCGUAAAGGGCGCGUAGGCGGCGUGACAAGUCACUUGUGAAAUCUCCGGGCUUAACUCGGAACGGUCAAGUGAUACUGUCGGACUAGAGUACAGAAGGGGCAACUGGAAUUCUCGGUGUAGCGGUGAAAUGCGUAGAUAUCAGGAGGAAUACCGGUGGCGAAAGCGACUCUCUGGACGGCAACUGACGCUGAGGCACGAAAGCGUGGGGAGCAAACAGG
rnacentral:rRNA from 1 species